UGAACCAGAUACAACGCGCUGGAGUUGC
rnacentral:piRNA from 1 species